AUUGAACGCUGGCGGCAGGCCUAACACAUGCAAGUCGUGCGGAGCGGCGGACGGGCGAGUAAUGCCUAGGAAUCUGCCUGGUAGUGGGGGAUAACGUCCGGAAACGGGCGCUAAUACCGCAUACUAUCAGAUGAGCCUAGUUCGGAUUAGCUAGUUGGUUGGGUAAAGGCCUACCAAGGCGACGAUCCGUAACUGGACUGAGAGGAUUAUCAGACACACGGGAACUGAGACACGAUCCAGACUCCUACGGGAGGCAGCAGUGGGGAAUAUUGGACAAUGGGCGAAAGCCUGAUCCAGCCAUGCCGCGUGUGUGAAGAAGGUCUUCGGAUUGUAAAGCACUUGAAGUUGGGAGGCGUGACCAACAGAAUAAGCACCGGCUAACUACGAGCCAGCAGCCGCGGUAAUUC
rnacentral:rRNA from 1 species